rnacentral:sRNA from 1 species
AUUGCUGUCUCUGAAGUUGGUCAGGGCAAGCCACUGGGAUUUGGGGAGCAGAAGUGGACCUGUCAAUGAAAGCAGCAUUCCAGACAAAGCAAGAAUGGCACCACCCUUUAUUGCUGCCAGUCUAUCUGAAAUUCCUUUGCCCAGCUGGUCGCCAUCUACAAGACACUGGGAGGAGAAAAGUUCCCUCUCAUUGAACAGACAUACUACCCCAACCACAAAGAGAUGCUGACACUGCCCACGUUCCCUGUGGUGGUGAAGAUUGGCCACGCUCACUCAGGCAUGGGCAAGGUGAGGCAGAGAGGCCUGCUGUGCUUCAGGGUUGAACCAAGAAGGGCAGUUUUCAGAGUGCCCAUUUGUGAACUGCUAUUCUCCCUCUGUCACUGAUGAAUUCUUUCCAAAGAGAAGAUGAUUUGCCACCUCUAAAGCCAUGAGUGUCACCCAACCAGACCUGUUUCAGUCAAAGUGGAAAACCACUACGACUUCCAGGACAUUGCCAGCGUGGUGGCUCUCACCCAGACCUAUGCCACUGCAGAGCCUUUCAUUGACUCCAAGUAUGACAUCCGGGUCCAGAAGAUUGGCAACAACUACAAGGCUUACAUGAGGACAUCGAUCUCAGGGAACUGGAAGACGAACACUGGCUCUGCAAUGCUGGAGCAGAUCGCCAUGUCAGACAGGUACAAACUGUGGGUGGACACCUGCUCUGAGAUGUUUGGUGGCCUGGACAUCUGUGCCGUCAAAGCUGUACAUGGCAAAGAUGGGAAAGACUACAUUUUUGAGGUCAUGGACUGUAGCAUGCCACUGAUUGGGGAACAUCAGGUGGAGGACAGGCAACUCAUCACCGAACUAGUCAUCAGCAAGAUGAACCAGCUGCUGUCCAGGACUCCUGCCCUGUCUCCUCAGAGACCCCUAACAACCCAGCAGCCACAGAGCGGAACACUUAAGGAUCCGGACUCAAGCAAGACCCCACCUCAGCGGCCACCCCCUCAAGGGGGCCCUGGGCAACCCCAAGGAAUGCAGCCCCCAGGCAAGGUGCUGCCUCCACGCCGGCUCCCCCCUGGACCAUCACUGCCACCUUCCUCCUCUUCCUCCUCCUCUUCCUCCUCCUCGGCUCCUCAGCGGCCGGGCGGCCCCACCACCCACGGAGAUGCACCCUCCAGCAGCAGCUCCCUGGCAGAGGCCCAGCCACCCCUGGCUGCUCCACCACAGAAGCCCCAGCCUCACCCACAGCUCAACAAGUCGCAGUCCCUGACAAAUGCCUUCAGCUUCUCUGAAUCCUCCUUCUUCCGGUCUUCAGCCAGUGAGGAUGAAGCCAAAGCGGAGACCAUCCGGAGCUUGAGGAAGUCCUUUGCCAGCCUCUUUUCAGAUUAGCUCUUCAGACACACGGGGCACCCGGCCCAACCGGGAAAGGCAUCUAAGACAUUCACCAACAACAGUCAGCCAGCUUGGUGGUGAUGUCCCAUGACCUUGAUGUGUGUGGUCGCUUCCUCUGCUCUGUUGUACUAAGUGAUGUUGUGCAGCCCAGAAAGGACCAUUUGACAGUCUCAGGGCAGGUGCCUACCCAGCAAGGGGUACCUGGCAUCAGAGAGGAAAGAGCUGCUUCCCUGUAGUCAUGAGAGCUUCGUUCUGAAGUCAUCGUUGCUGUGAGUUUAGUGGCCUUAUUGUGAUAGUGCCAUCAUGUCUUAUUCUUCCCUGUGAAACCAGGAUUAAUCGUGGACUCCUGGCAGCUUAACCUAGCUCAGUUGCAGUGCUAAGCAUGCCCCGCCCCCAUUCAGUGAUACCUGUUUGGGAAGUAUAUACUUCCCCAAAAGUACUCUUGGUCCUAAGUUUUAGGAACUUUCCCCAACCUGGAUCCCAUUUCAUACCUAUGUUACUGUUUAAAGCACACCCACCCAACUUACAAGAUCUUAGGCUGCUGUGGUGGUGAAGCACCUUGAGUCUGCUGAUAUUCGGGAGAACAAGGAUCUGCAGUUUCCCCUUUUCUCCCCUCUGAAGAGUGGUUCUUAUGUGCAAUCUGCAGUAACCUUGAACUCCAGAGCUGCACUAUAGAGGAGAAUGCAUGCCACUAUGACAGCAGUAUGCCAAGCUUUGUGUUCAUCUCCUAAUAAACGUUAAGACCUUUGGUGUAAU